CCUCCUCGGUCCUCUGAGGCUCUGUAUAAAAUGCUUGAGGAAGAAGAAUUCUCUAAGGUAAGAAGCCAAUUGAACCUCUGCCUUUGGUCACAAGAGUAGGUAAAGAGAGAGGCAGGUCAGUACAUGUGCUUGGACUCAGGAUAGAAAUCUGGACAGGGUCAUCUUUCAAUUGUGUGAAACCUGAGAUAGUGUUACCAGACACUCUUGCUUCACGGAGUUGGUGAGUUCAGCACUCGGCCUCCCAACUUGAGUAGAAUCCAGGUGGAUGUGUGUAGCAAUCUUUGACAGCACAUUAGAAUAUAAUUUGAUCCAGUUUUUUUUUUUUUUCCUUUUUCUUUCCAGGUCUUUUAGGGAGAAGAAAACAUUGGUCUAAUUUGCUAAGUAAGGGUGGACCAAGGCUAAACCAAAUCAAAUGUAUACAUGAAAUCCAAUUGCUAAAGUGAUGCUUAGCGUUUAAAGAGGACAAACUUGCAUAUAGAUCUGAGAAGCAGUCUUGAGGUUUGAGGAUGCCAGUGUGUGUAUCAGGCUGCAUUUCUCAGAGUAAUCUUAUUUUUUCAUGUGAACGACCCACCUCGGUUAAGAACAAAGCUGAAAGAAGAAACCAUGGAAAUAAAAAGCUAUGGUGAAGACCAGACACCAGCUUUAAAGCCUGCUGCUUACCCAGGGGAUUCUAAGUCUUCUCAGAGCGCAUUUGUGCUUCUUAAUUUUUACAUAAAAGAGUGAAUAGUUUAUUAUCAAUAUAAACAGAGCAGUGUGCUAACUCACCUUUCGUAAGAUUUUAUAGUCUGCAGUGCCCUUUCAGAAUAGUUUUAUUG
rnacentral:lncRNA from 1 species